CGUGAGUGAUGAAGGCUUUCGGGUCGUAAAGCUCUGUCAAGUGGGAAGAAACCAUAUGGUGUUAAUAUCGCCAUAUGCUGACGGUACCACUGAAGGAAGCACCGGCUAACUCCGUGCCAGCAGCCGCGGUAAUACGGGGGGUGCGAGCGUUAUUCGGAUUUACUGGGCGUAAAGAGCGCGUAGGCGGUCUUUCAAGUCAGGUGUGAAAGCCCGGGGCUCAACCCCGGAAGUGCACUUGAAACUAAAAGACUUGAGUAUGGGAGAGGGAAGUGGAAUUCCUGGUGUAGCGGUGAAAUGCGUAGAUAUCAGGAGGAACAUCGGUGGCGAAGGCGACUUCCUGGACCAAUACUGACGCUGAGGCGCGAAGGCGUGGGGAGCAAACAGGAUUAGAUACCCUGGUAGUCCACGCAGUAAACGGUGAACACUAGGUGUAGCGGGUAUUGACCCCUGCUGUGCCGCAGCAAACGCA
rnacentral:rRNA from 1 species